GUUGUGGUUGUGCUUAAAAAGUACAUUUGAAUGUUCAGACGAGCAUCGAUAUCAUAUCAUAUGAUGAUCUCGCAGUUUUGUAUCCUUAAUUUCUAAUACCACUCGUCUAGUGGCAGUAAAAUAUUCUUAGACGUGAAGCUACCCGAAACAUUGCAUCAUUAAUCAAUAGUAAGGAUUUUUCGUUACAAGAAAAUAAUCGAGUGGAAGAAAUUAAUGCAAUUUAGCACUGCCAUCAUUAUCCCAUCAGUCACGACAGCGUCAGCCUAAAAUAUGAAUUCAUGAGCAACACUGUCAAAGCAACUUUUUCCGAGCACAUCAAGAUACGGAUACGUUGGUCAUCUUCUACCACUUCGUCUCGAGUAGAUCCAACAGCAAAUCCCGCAACAGCAAAAUGAGCGACCGUAAGGCAGUAAUCAAAAAUGCCGAUAUGGGUGAGGAGAUGCAACAGGACGCUGUUGAUUGUGCGACGCAGGCCCCUUGA